UAAAAACCCUGGAACUGACUAUAGAGUCUGAACUUCUUUACUGCUAAGAAAUUAUAAUCGACUCUAUACCUCAUUGCCUGGCCUCUGCUCGCAGACAAGUCAUAUCUUCCAGCCACGCGAAAGGUUUAAAGUUAAUGUCAUAAAAUUUUUACUAUCCCAAUUAUACAGCACAACAACACAUUUCCAGAAAUUUACAGGGUUGUUAGUUCAAGUUUCCAGAUAAGGAAAUUGAUAAUAGAAGUGAAGAUGAAGGAUACCAACAUUAUUGGGAACAAUGUUUGAGAUAUUGAUCUAAUUAUUUCUCAAGUGUUAACUCAUUCAACCCAAGCAUGAAAGCACCCUGUAAGAAACCUGCUUGGUGAACUUGCAGCAGAAGAACAUGAGUACCAAAACUAUUUGUGUCUGUUCUGAAGGAGCCUCCCGAGGAGAGCAAACACUGCAAACCUCUGCUAGAGAAACUAUGUUUGAGUCCCAGUAUCCCAACUCUCCCACGUACUUGCUGGCUAUUCUGGGAGGCUACGAAUGUGAGUCAAACAGAUUAAAUAAAUGGUCCCUGACCACCGGUAUGGAAGAGAUACUGUUGGAACCAAGGCUCUGAGUCAUCAAAGUCGGUGAUCUGUUGAGCUCUCCCCAUCUGUGUCCCAGAUGUUACAGAAAGCCC